rnacentral:tRNA from 1 species
GCCGGGGUGUCGGAACAGGCAGACGAUGGGGACUUAAAAUCCUCUGGGCCUUCAGCCCGUGCGGGUUCGAGCCCCGCCCCCGGCACCA